AGAGUUUGAUCCUGGCUCAGAGCGAACGCUGGCGGCGUGCCUAACACAUGCAAGUCGAACGUGAAAUGGAGCAAUCCAGAGUAAAGUGGCGUACGGGUGAGUAAUACGUAGGUAAUCUACCUAAGUGUCUGGAAUAACCGGCCGAAAGGCUGGCUAAUACUGGAUAGAGCGACGGGACUCGUAAUUGGGUCUUUCGGGAA
rnacentral:rRNA from 1 species